AUACUACUCCCUCCGUCCCAAAAUAAGUGACUCAACUUUGUAAUAACUAUGUACUAAAGCUAGUACAAAGUCGAGUCACUUAUUUUGGGACGGAGGGAGUACAAU
rnacentral:pre_miRNA from 1 species